UCGGGAGGAUUCGGUGCUGAAGCGAAGGCGAAGAGUGAGCUACCUGGGAAGUAUAGUCGCAAGAUCGAAACUUAAAGGAAUUGGCGGGGAGACAUACAACGAGUGACGCGUGGGGUUCAAUCAGAUUCCACACCGUGAACCUCACCAGGAGCGACAGCAGGAUGAAGGUCAGUCUAAAGGGCUUACCUGACACGCUGAGCGGAGAUACAAAGCCGACGUCAGCCUGUGCUGUGAAGUGACCUGUUAAAUCGGGUAACAGGCGAGACCCGUGUCAACAAUUACUACAGAAAUGGGUACAUUGUUGAGACUGCCUUGGCAACAAGGAGGAAGGUGCGGGCUACGUUAGGUGGCUUGUCCCUAAUCCCCUGGGCUACACGCGCGCGGCAAUGGUACGUUCAGUGAGAUGCAACUCCGAGAGGAGAAGCUAAUCCCCAACACGUAUCUCAGUCCAGAUCGAGGGUUGCAACCCACCCUCGUGACGUUGGAAUUCGUAGUAAUCGGAUUUUAGCAUAGUCCGGUGAAUAAGUCCCUGUCUCUUGCACACACCGCCCGACAAACCAACCGAGUUAUGGAGGGGUGAAGCCCUUUUGGGAAAAACCUUUUUAUGACAAGGUAGGUUAAGUCGUAACAAGGUAGCC
rnacentral:rRNA from 1 species